rnacentral:misc_RNA from 1 species
UUUUUAAUUUUUUUUUUCUCUUUUUAAUUUGUAACUGGCCUUAACUACUCUAAUACUGUGCUUAUUCAAUAAUCCUAAACGUGCUUAAUACUUAAUUAAGAGGGAUUGAGUGAAGGGCAACUCUAAUCUUAUUCUAUUUUAGCUUCUAAUUAUUGUUGCUUUGUCAGUUUCAGCAAUUGGGGAUAGAAGUUUGUUUCUUGUUUUCAUAUCCUCCUAAAGUUGACCUUUGAAAACUAUAGAAUGGAUAGGACAACCUACAUGAUUUUCCAAUUAUUCAAUAAAGUCUUAUACAAUCAAAACCUUACUGUUCCAUACACUUUUGUUCUAGAAAUUGGCCAAAUAGACAAAGAAAACUAGUUUUUGGUUAAUUCUAUAAUUGUGUUUGGUUAAGGCAACAAUUUUCCCCCUUAAAUAUGCAUCACGUUUUGAAUUAACAAAAUCUACAUAACUUUGAACAUGCUGCUAAGGAAUUUAAAUUAACAGACUUUACCUAACAAGAUAAUGUAUUCCAAUUCGCUUUCUAGAUUUAAAUAAUUGGAUUUUCAAUAGGGAAAAGGCUACCUAUUUAAGUACUAAAGAACUGAAAAUUUUCUUCUAUCUUAUAUAAAGAUGAAUACAAGGCAAACAGAAAACAUGAAGAAGAAGUUUCUUGCCUAUGCCAUAUUAAUUGUUAAGAAAUCAAACAAUGACUAGAUUAAUCUUUCCCUUAAUUUUUCUAAGUUUUUUUUUUUCUUUUUUUCUUUGCAUUCUGAAAUUCUGGCGUAUUGCCUGGGAAAGCAGAAACAUUACUCUGAUGCAUUGGGAUAUUUCUUAUUCUGUUCUUGA